GACGAACGCUGGCGGCGUGCCUAAUACAUGCAAGUUGAGCGAUGAAGGUUGGUACUUGUACCAACUGGAUGAGCAGCGAACGGGUGAGUAACGCGUGGGGAAUCUGCCUUUGAGCGGGGGACAACAUUUGGAAACGAAUGCUAAUACCGCAUAAAAACUUUAAACACGUGUUUUAAGUUUGAAAGAUGCAAUUGCAUCACUCAAAGAUGAUCCCGCGGUGUAUUAGCUAAUUGGUGAGGUUAAGGCUCAACAAGGCGAAGAUACAUAGCCGACCUGAGAGGGGGGUUGGCCCCAACGGGACCUGGGACAGGGCCAAGCUCCUACGGGGAGGCGCAAGAGGGAAACUUCGGCAAUUGGCGAAAAGCUGACCGGGCAACGCCGGGGUGAUGGAUGAGGGUUUCGGGUCGGAAAACUCUGUUGGUAGGGAAGGACGUUAGGGAGAAUGAAAAGCUCAUCAAGUGACGGUAACUACCCAGAAAGGGACGGCUAACUACGUG
rnacentral:rRNA from 1 species